CCUACGGGAGGCAGCAGUGAGGAAUAUUGGUCAAUGGCCGGAAGGCUGAACCAGCCAUGCCGCGUGAAGGUCAGUGCCCUAUGGGCGUUAAACUUCUUUUGUGCGGGAGCAAUAAUGGUCACGUGUGGCCAGACGAGAGUACCGUACGAAUAAGCAUUGGCUAACUCCGUGCCAGCAGCCGGGGUAAUACGGGGGAUGCAAGCGUUUUCCGGAUUUUUUGGGUUUAAAGGGUGCGUAGGCUGGGAGGUAAGUGAGCGGUGAAAUGCCCCCGCGCAACGGGGUGAAGAGCCAUUGAUACUGCCGUGCUGGAAUGCGAAAGCCGUGGGAGGAAUGUGUGGUGUAGCGGUGAAAUGCAUAGAUAUCACACAGAACACCGAUUGCGAAGGCAUCUCACGAAUCCGCGAUUGACGCUGAUGCACGAAAGCGUGGGUAUCAAACAGGAUUAGAUACCCGUGUAGUC
rnacentral:rRNA from 1 species